AAGAAGGGAUGGGGAUGGGGAGGGGAUGGGUGAAGACAGAGGGAGGGAGGGCUGAGGGGAGGGUGAAGGCACCUAUGAUGAAAAAAGAAAAGAAAAAUAGAACAAAAAAAAAAAAAAAAAAAAAAAAAAAAAAAAAAAAAAAAAAAAAAUGAAAAGAAAAAAGAAAGAAAUGAACAAAAAAAAAAAAAGAAAAAAAAUGAAAAAGACAAAAGGUAAAAGAAAAAAAAAAGAGGGAACGGAAAAAAAAAGAAAAAAGAGAAAAGGAAAAAAAAAAAAAAGAUAGAAAGAGAAAGAAAAAAACCAGUAGAUGAAAAAGAAAAAACAAAAGGAAAACGAAUAAUGACAAGAGAAGAAAGGUAAAGAGAAAAGAAGAAAAAAGCCAAGUCAAAAAGUAAAGAAUAACUCGAAGGAAGGAGUGGAUGGCAAGAAAUACAGAGAAAGCAGUGCAUAGCACAGCAGAGCAAAGCAAGGCAAAAUAGCAGCCAAAGCCACGAGAAUCAAGAAGUCAGUGAAGAGCAGGAAAGGAAUGGAGGAAUCUGUCCAGAGCUGUGCCCCUGCUUGCCACAGGAGCUGCGCGGGAGGAGAAGAACGUGGGCCAAAAGGUAAGAGGAGCUCCUUUGGGUUCUGGGCUUGAAGCAAAGCUGAGAAGCCAUGCCCGGGAGGAGGUGUGGGUAGCUACAGGCCACCUUGCUAUCUCCCCAAGAGAUGAGGUGUGUGGGCUAGGCACCGGGCAGGAGUGCUGGCCAGAAGCAAGCAUCUCUGUGGAGGAAGGCAAAGGGCGGAGGAGGUUCAAGGGUAGCUACCGGGCAUGGCCUUGCUCAGCAAGGGGAGGAAAAGCCUGAAGGGCACGAGAAGGGGAUAGAGAAGGGCAGGCAGUAGGCGUGAAGCUGCGAGCAGAGUAGAGAGCAACUUGGCAGAGCAGCAAGCAGAGUAGGCAAGUGUUGAGGUUUGGCGUGAGUAGCAGCAAAAGCCCAGAGCAUCAAGAAGCAGGAAGUGAGGAGAAGGUAAGUGAAGGGCAGGCAAGGUAAUGGGAGGCAAAGGCAAGGGGAAAGGGGGGGUAAGGGAGAAAGAAGGGAUGGGGAUGGGGAGGGGAUGGGUGAAGAGCAGAGCGGAGGGAAGGGCUGAGGGGAGGGCUGAAGGCAAACCUAUGAUGAAAAAAGAAAAGAAAAAAUAAGAACAAAAAAUGAAAAAAGAGAAAAAGAAAAAAAAAAUAAGAAAAAGAGAAAAAAUGAAAAGAAAAAAAUGAAACAAAAAAGAGUAAAAAGAGAAAAAAAAGAAAAAGAGAAAAAAGAGAAAAGAAAAAAAGAAAAUGAACAAAAAGAGAAAAAAGAGAAAAGAUAAAAAAAGAAAAAGAUAAAGAAAAGAGAAAAGAAAAAAAGAAAAUAGAAAUAAAAAAGAGAAGAAAAAUAUGAAAAAAAGAAAAAGAAAAAAAGAAAAGAAAAAACAGUAGAUGAAAAAAGAAAAAAAAAGGAAAAACGAAUAAUGACAAGAGAAGAAAGGUAAAGAGAAAAGAAGAAAAAAGCCAAGUCAAAAAGUAAAGAAUAACUCGAAGGAAGGAGUGGAUGGCAAGAAAUACAGAGAAAGCAGUGCAUAGCACAGCAGAGCAAAGCAAGGCAAAAUAGCAGCCAAAGCCACGAGAAUCAAGAAGUCAGUGAAGAGCAGGAAAGGUAAGUUUCCCUUAAAGCAAG
rnacentral:lncRNA from 7 species